rnacentral:misc_RNA from 1 species
UAAUAGAUAAAACUGAUUAAUACCACCAGUUGAAUAAGGGACUAUCAUACAUCUAAACCAUAAAUCCUGAAAGAUCAGGAUUUGAGAACACCCACAAUGACUAACUCGCUAUAUAACUAGAGGAGAUUCAUUCCAUAAACGUGUCUGAAUCCAGAUAUGUGAACCAGUUCUGCAUGCCGGCACUUCACUCGUACACAAGAUAAAAGCAAAAAACAUAAAAACAAAGAGAGAGAGAGAGAGAGAGAGAGA